AGGGUAAUAGGAAUAGAAUUACCUUUUGUUUCACUGAAACUCUGAAUUUAAAACGUGAUUUUUGUGGACCUGUGGGCUCAAAUGAGAGAGGCCCAAGUCCAAAAUUUUUCUGUUAUAUUUUAUUUUUUAUUUUUCUUUUUUUCUUUUUUUCUUUUUUUUUCUUUUUUUUCUUUUCUUUUUUUUUUUUUUUCGUUUUUCGUUUU
rnacentral:lncRNA from 1 species